rnacentral:rRNA from 1 species
GUCGAACGGUGAACACGGAGCUUGCUCUGUGGGAUCAGUGGCGAACGGGUGAGUAACACGUGAGCAACCUGCCCCUGACUCUGGGAUAAGCGCUGGAAACGGCGUCUAAUACUGGAUAUGUGACGUGACCGCAUGGUCUGCGUUUGGAAAGAUUUUUCGGUUGGGGAUGGGCUCGCGGCCUAUCAGCUUGUUGGUGAGGUAAUGGCUCACCAAGGCGUCGACGGGUAGCCGGCCUGAGAGGGUGACCGGCCACACUGGGACUGAGACACGGCCCAGACUCCUACGGGAGGCAGCAGUGGGGAAUAUUGCACAAUGGGCGCAAGCCUGAUGCAGCAACGCCGCGUGAGGGAUGACGGCCUUCGGGUUGUAAACCUCUUUUAGCAGGGAAGAAGCGAAAGUGACGGUACCUGCAGAAAAAGCGCCGGCUAACUACGUGCCAGCAGCCGCGGUAAUACGUAGGGCGCAAGCGUUAUCCGGAAUUAUUGGGCGUAAAGAGCUCGUAGGCGGUUUGUCGCGUCUGCUGUGAAAUCCCGAGGCUCAACCUCGGGCCUGCAGUGGGUACGGGCAGACUAGAGUGCGGUAGGGGAGAUUGGAAUUCCUGGUGUAGCGGUGGAAUGCGCAGAUAUCAGGAGGAACACCGAUGGCGAAGGCAGAUCUCUGGGCCGUAACUGACGCUGAGGAGCGAAAGGGUGGGGAGCAAACAGGCUUAGAUACCCUGGUAGUCCACCCCGUAAACGUUGGGAACUAGUUGUGGGGUCCAUUCCACGGAUUCCGUGACGCAGCUAACGCAUUAAGUUCCCCGCCUGGGGAGUACGGCCGCAAGGCUAAAACUCAAAGGAAUUGACGGGGACCCGCACAAGCGGCGGAGCAUGCGGAUUAA